AAGGAUCAUUAAUGAGUCCGGGGGCCUAGCCCUCAGCGGUGGGUGUCUGUCCGAGUCCGUCAAGGCUCGACCAGCGCUCGUCGUGUAUCUCAACCCCAUGUUUACCUUACCUUUGUUGCUUUGGCGGGCCUUGAGUAGGCUAUACGGCUCAUGCCAGCCCCCAGCGUUUUCUUGCUGGGGGGCGGCUCGCGCCCGCCGGAGGCUCAACCAAAUUCUGUUUAUUAGUGAAGUCCGAGUAAAAAUCAAAUAAUGAAAACUUUCAACAACGGAUCUCUUGGUUCUGGCAUCGAUGAAGAACGCAGCGAAAUGCGAUAAGUAAUGUGAAUUGCAGAAUUCAGUGAAUCAUCGAAUCUUUGAACGCACAUUGCGCCCCUCGGUAUUCCGGGGGGCAUGCCUGUUCGAGCGUCAUUACACCCCUCAAGCGUAGCUUGGUAUUGGGCGUUUCGCGGGGCCUCUUCGGGGGGCCUGCGCGUCCGGAAAGCAGUGGCGGUCCCCGGGGAUUUCGCGCGUAGUAAAUAUUCUCCCGCGUUGGAAAGAACCGAUGGGUCUGGCCAAACCCCCCCAUAAAUCUCCAUGAUUGACCUCGGAUCAGGUAGGGAUACCCGCUGAACUUAA
rnacentral:rRNA from 1 species